CCGCCGGGCCCGGUCUCGCGAGAGGUGGGAGCCGCUCACCCUGCUCUCGCGAGAGUACCAGCGCACCGCCCGGCGCCGGCCCGCCGCUCGGCCCCCACUCAUUGUCCGCGCGCUCCCGCGGGGGCCGAUGGGAAGGCGCUCGAGGGCGGGGCUCGGUCUGGCCCCGCCCCCCGCCCGGGGCUGAGGGAGGCGGGGGGGGGGGCUGAAUGAGAAAGGGUCACGGGUUCGCGGCCGCCCUCAGCCCCUUCCCGUCAUACCCACCCGCCAGCGCGGUGACAACCGGAGGACAGUCCCGGGGUCGGUGCCCUCUGAACCCCAAGAUGAAAUGCGCCCUCAGCCAUGGCGGAGGGAAACCCUCCUCGCACAGCGCCGGGGCUCCUCAUCGCUUCUCCUGCCUUCCAUUGCUGGAAAUGGAGGAGUGGGUAACGAUUUGUGGCAAAAGACUCGGUCUCCCCAUCAUCUUGGAAGCCACUGUGUUUGGGCAGCUUUACAAAGGUGAGGGAUUGUGGCUGAAUUUGGUCUCCAGAAGAGAAAAAUCCGUCCUUUGAAUUCAUCACAGGCUGAUUGUUCCUCUCUGUGUGUGGCUGGAGAGCAUAGUGAGACAGCAACACAGAAGGCGCUGGAAAAAAUCAGGAGGUUGGUACAAAAUACAUGUUGAAAUAAUAUGAAAGUGCUCUAAGAACAAUCGUGAGAAAUGCAGCUCUCUUAACAAGCUCGGGAUAAAAAACCAAUUAAGUGCUCAAAACCAAACACAUAAAUCUAAGUUAACAAUACUUCUGUGCUCCAGCACUGCAGAGCAGUAAAAGCAAAGCGCCUUGAUGAAAUGUAAAGCGAUACAGCCACUUUUGCCCAGUCAAAGUCAUAUAUAGAUUGCAAAACGUACAGUGCUAAUAAAUAGAAUCAUAAAUCACGCUAGCAGUUGCUGAGUACGAGCGAGCCUUGCUCCAUUUCCCCGGCUUCAUUUCAACACCGGAAUUUUGUGCUUCUGAGACCACGUGGGUUUUCUCUCAAUUUCCUUUGUUGUCCCUCGGUCAAGGCGCUGAACUGGCGGCCAGGUGAAUCGUUUUGACCUUCAUUGAUUGCAUGUGGCUGCAGGAGCCGCGCAGCGCUGACCAGCGUGGCCCUGCUAACGUGGCUGCUGCGCUAAGACGCUGCGCUGCAGCGCCUGUGCACGUGCUGAUCGCCGGAGAACGUUCAUAACAUCCCUAGGCUGGUUUUCUCUUCCAGUAUGUGCACGAAGCCCGGUGGAUCCGGGGAAAAGCGCCACCCCUCCAGCUGUCUCCAGCGCUGUGGGGCCUCAGAAUUGCUGCCAACAGUUUUCCAUCACUUUCUGCUGCAUUUUUUCUUAUAGCACAACCAGGCCCACGAGUCUUGGGUUCAGCCCCAAGACAAAUGUAGUAGAGGUUUAUCGCGCACACAGUUUUUCAAGGAAAUAAGCCAGUCAGCGUGUAUUUAUUGUCUAUAUAGCACAUGCUUUAUGUGGCUGACAGUAGGGCAUGUAUUCCUAAUUUUUUGCUGAUUUCAGAAAUACCUGGUACAGAAGCAGAGACAGCAAACGUGUUUUUCAGCAGAGAGCUCUUGCAGUGAGAACUGGAGCCUAUAGCCCCCCAAGGGCAGCCAGACAUGGGCACCCAUCGCUCGCUCCCACACGAGCACCGGGGAAGAUCACUGGGUACAACACUAAUCCUGGUCAUUCGUUGUGCAGGUAGAACUUGUUCAUAUAGAACCAGUCAAUAUGCUGAAUACUCUGAGAAGUAUUUCUGUAUAGCGUGUAAGAAAUGCAUAUUCAGAGAUUAGUGACAAACGGCAGAAGGGCUCACAGGGAAGCGAGCGGAGUCAGGGGCACUUAACAAUUAGGAGAGCCAUGAAAACCCUGAGCGCUAUAAUUCAUUUAUACCAACUGGAGCACCUAUUUGACAUAAACCAUCUGUAACUAACCUGGGAUGUGCCAGCGUUUUACCAAAAGCCUCACGUUUGUUUAAUUUCUAAGUAGAUGGCACUGCAGCAUCUACAACAAGGUAACUGUAACGUCACUGAAGGCCAUUGAACUAUUUUUUUUUUUAAACUGAAAAUGGAAGUUUUAGCCUAAAAAAAAGUGUUGGAGGGAAGGAAGCCUUGUUAAGGAUCUGUCCUCGCGGCAGAGGGUACAGUGGAGCGUGCGCGAGUAGCAGGAGGCUGCCCCGUGCUGCACUCCUGCCUCUUUAGCCUCCUGCAGACAGGAAUUCACUGUGACUUUCCAAUCCUGCUGUACCCCACAGCCUUAGGAGACAAAACCCAAAAAGACCAUGUUUACAUAAAAAUAGGUUUAAUAAAUAGAGGUCACAGAAGAAAAAUAUUUUAAGCAGUGAGAGGGGAUUACCAAUUAACAAAUUAUGUGUGUAAUUCCUGUUACACCUUGCCCCCAACCACCUUUGAUGUUUCAAGCUGCCACAUCCAGGUCCUGAAAAGUAUUGCCAUUUAUACUGUGGAAGUUCCCAUCUUCUCAAGUUCUUUCAAAGAGGCACCAACAGCUGAUUCCUUUUCUUCUGACAACUACUGGCCCAGCGAGCCCCCACCUGCGGCAAAACGUCCAAACCACUGCCUGUAAUUAAAAAACACAGUUAACAGGAGCAUCUCUAAAGACCCCAAAUUCAACCCUUAACGCUGACCAGUUAAAUUACCUGACCUUCGUUUUUAUAUAACUCGAUAUUAAGCAAAAUAUCUGCAACAGAUUUAUUUAUGUAUUUAGACUGUGCGCUGUCUGCAUCCAAUCCAGGACUGACUCCACGCAGGAGUCGCUCCACUCUCAAGCAUGCAGAGCGCUGCCGAAACCCGGCCCGGCCGGCACUAGAACAGCCCCGGCGGCGCCAGGAGCGACUCGGCGGCGCGUUUCUCUCCCAGCGGCAUAACACCGACCCCAGCACGGAGCAGCAACGGGCAGCUGACUACCGCUGGGCCAAACACCACUCAAACCUGUGUUUUUAAAGGACAGGAGGAAGCAGAAACCCAAAAGCACGUUCCCCUGGCGAUGUGGGGCUUAGCAGAGAGCACAGCACAGUUUUUAAAAUGACUUUCUUCUGUUUGUUUUUCUCUCAGGUAAUUAUAAUUUUACCAGCCGUAUGCUGCAUUAUUACACAACAGCAGCGUUUCCCUCUUCUGCUUGGGCCAACAGGGAGAUUUCAAGUUGCUCAAGCAAUGUGUGGUGUGCUGUAAUUUCUACGGUUAUUUCUGAUUAUUAAAUGUGUUCAUGUGUCACUGUUUGGA